ensembl:antisense Gm15533 predicted gene 15533
CACAGUCCCAAUAUGUCAGACACAACAGUUUGGACAAACCCCGGCUCUGGCAUUUCCAGGCUUGCUGGAGGACCGCUGCCAAGCAAGGUAGGUAGCUAUUCUGCAGACAGCUCCUAGCCGGUUCCUGCCGGCUUUGCUCUACAGGCGCAGCAGGCGGCCUUUGGAUACCCCUCACCCCCUUUCUGGCUGCCUAGCCACGCCCACCCUCCUAAGCCACCUGGAGCCAAUUCUCAGAAGCUCAUAAUGAAAGUUCAGCAGUCCCACCCUGCCUUCACCGGGUCCCGCACCUUGAGGCGUGCGUGGGCUUCAGCGGCAGGCAGGAGACGAUGACCACGGUGAGAACCGAGCGAGGCACACACACCACACACAAGUGUGCGGUCCUGCUCGCAGUAGAUGCUCAGUGGAUCCAGGUGUUCCUCGCAGUGACCUUGGGGCACUUGCGCCAAACCCUCCACAAGGCGUGACAACUGGAGGUUAGUGCUUAGAGCCUGCGGCCGUGUAGGUGCCUGACAACAGGGACAGGCAACUGUGCCGUCCGCAGCAGGCUCCCCUGCCACCCGGAUCAGGCAGGCACGGCAGAAACUGUGGCCACACUCAGCCGUCACUGGCGCAUCGAACAGCUGCAAGCACAGUGGGCAGGACAGUUCCUGACGCAGAAGGCCGGGUGCAGCCGACAUGGUGAGCCUGGGAAGAGGAGUCCCAUUACAAGAAUUCCAGCUCAAUCCUACACUGGGUCUGUGGCCCCGCAGCCAGAGCCCCAUCCUGUAACUACCUCACAUCCCACACUGGAAGAGAAUCUGGUUUUGACCAUCUGGUAAAGAGGAUGUGGUGUCGUCCCAGAGUGGGCACGUAUAUCGCCAUUCUCAGCCCAGAUAAAAACAAAUGUGACCCAACUAGGCAUUUAUCAGCCCCGGUUACCCACUCCACAAACUCCUUGCUACUGAUUUAGCCCAGGCUUCAGUCUGUGACCUAGGUCUGGACCUUCACUCUUCUGGAAUUUACUAGAAUCCCCUCUCCAAUUGACCUCCCACUGACCUCUCUCAAAUACCCAGCCCUCUCCUCCCCCAUAUCUCAAGGCCCACAGGACUCACAAGUCUGGUGGGAGAACUUAGGCCAAAAAAGACUCCCAGGAGGACCAGUCAGGUUCAGGUCUAACAGCAGGGUGAUCGGAGUUGUGUCCAAAACAAGCAAGAAGCAAGCAGCAGGCUCAAUGCAAGGGCAGGGAUUCAGGGCCAGAUGGCAGUGGGUGGAUGCAACAGGUGAUAGGCAUAUAGUGGACACCCUCCCAGAUAGUUCAGUGGCCCAAGAACUAUAUUUAGCUGUCCUACCCACUCCCUCCCACAGCUUUCGGGAAACUGUUCUAAAUGUGGAGUGUGAGCAGUCAGUAGGCAGACAUCCUGGCCUGGCCUAGUCCUUUCCUCAGGCCAGGCUAGAGCUUAGAAUCAGUGGGCAAGCAUGGCUGCCCCUCUCCCUACAGCACUUCCACUCUGGCUUCCUUCCUCCUUGACAUUGUUGGUUAACCUAUUCAUUUCCCAACCACUUACGCUAAUGGUGCUAACUCCACCUGUGGGAAGGCAGGUGAGGGUAUUUCCCCCUAUUUUCUAGCAUAGGCCCUGAAACAAUGCACCCCGUCCCCCCAAAUGCUUGGAGAAUGAAUGGUAAGUAGUUAAAUGAAUGAACUGAAACCAGAGUCUACAGCUCAGAACUGGAGCUUGCCCCGCUGGAAGCACCAGGCUUUCUUAAUAGCUUAUCUUUCGAUGGUUAAUAUAAAUUUUAAUCAGAAUAAAAAUCAAAGUCUUCCUUAUGACCUACAAUUUAUUCCCAUCUGGCCCCAUUCACUGCCCUGACCUGUACCUCACCCUUCCCCCUGCCCUGGCCCCUCGAGGACUUUGUCCUUGCCACCCCUCUAUCUAGAACAUUCUUGCAGUCCCAGAUAUUGCAAAGCUCUUUUCCUUUUCUCCUCAGACCUCUUCUCAACGCCAGGCUUCCAGUGUUGGUUCUUCAAACUCCUACAUCUUCUCCUUAAAUCCUGAAUGUCCCGGUGCUGCUCUCAGUAACAAGACAGAUACACAAGAUGCCCUCACUUCUUCACGUCUUAAGUACCAAGCUAGAGUAGAGAGAUGGCUCAAUGGUUAAGAGCGCUGUCUGCUCCUCCAGAGGACCUGAGGUUUGUUCCCACAUAGUCGCUCACAACCAUCGAUAACUCCAGUUCCAGGCAACCUGAUAUCCUCUUCUGGCCUCUGUGGAUACUAGGCAUACAUGUGGUACAUAAACCAUAUACCCAUACACAUUAAAUAUCUUUAAACCAUUUUUAAAAAACAAUUAAAGCAAGAGGCUGGAGUGGAGUGGCUUAUGCUUAAGAAGCUGAGGCAAGAGGAUCAACUUUGAUCUUGGCUGCAUGAGAACCUGAGAAGUAGGGAGAUUGUGUGUGUGUAUAUAUAUAUAUAUAUAUAUAUGAGAGAGAAAACAAACCAAAUGCGUGUGUGUGUGUGUGUGUGUGUGUGUGUGUGUGUGUGUGUGUGUGUGUGUGUAAAGCCAGCUCUGGGAGUCACCUGUAAUCCUGCAGGCAGGAAGGCUACAAGCUCCUGGACAUCAGGAUGCUGUGUAUAAGUAAACAAUUGAAGGAAAGCAAGGUUAUUUGGGUAUUUGGGGAGUUUUGUUUUUUAGUUUUCAGUUUUGGUUCCUUUUAGUUGUUGUUGUGUUUUGUUUAGCUCUUUGAGAAAAUUAGUCACACAGCCUAAGCUAGCCUCUGACUCACUAUAUACAAGAAACUUGCUUUGAACUCCUGAUCCUCCUGCCUCCACUACCUAAGUGCUAGGAUCACAUGUAUGCAAUACCAUGCCCAGACUUAAAGCAAGUAUGUUCUCUUAUGGAUACACAGGAAGGAAAUUGCUCAUCCCUGUAACAUACAAUAGUGCUCUGCUGGAGAGAUGGCUCAAAAGUUAGGAGUACUUGUUGCUCUUGAAGUGGAGCCAAGUUUGGUUCCCAGCACCCACAUGGUGGCUCCAUCAUCCCUGACUGAAAUUUCAUGUAGUCCAACACACUUUUCUGACCUCGUAAGGCAGGCAUACACAUGAGAUACAUUCAUACUCAAGCGAGAAAUCCAUACACAUAAACUAAACAAAUCU